UACGUAGGGGGCAAGCGUUGUCCGGAUUCAUUGGGCGUAAAGAGCGUGUAGGCGGCCAGGUAGGUCGGUUGUGAAAACUGGAGGCUCAACCUUCAGAGGUCGACCGAAACCAUCUGGCUAGAGUCCGGGAGAGGAGAGUGGAAUUCCGUGGUGUAGCGGUGAAAUGCGCAGAUAUCAGGAAGAACACCCGUGGCGAAAGCGGCGUCUCUGGAACGGUACUGACGCUGAGACGCGAAAGCGUGGGGAGCGAACAGG
rnacentral:rRNA from 1 species